CAAGUUCUACUGCCUAAUCUGAGAGAUCCCAAAACAAGUAUAAAACACCUAUUAUAUAAAUAAAAAUAAAACGAUUACCUAAUGAUAUAGCAUAUAUGCAUAAGUUACAUGAAUUGUACAAAAUACUAGUAAGCAAUCCACAUACACUUGAAUCCCCAUAAUAGUAGCCUCAUGCCCCAAAAAAUACAUCAGAUAUCAUUACAAGCUUUCACAUUCUGCCUACACUAUGUUUGGCCUUUAAUCUUGUGUUCAAAAGGAGAUGUCAAUAUUACCAAAAAGAUAUGAAACCCAUGCACUCCAACCUACAAGAAAAUAAAAACAUGUCAACAAAAGGAAAGAAAAUUACAAACUUAAUUAGUAUUUUUAUGGGGAAAAAUCAACAAAAAUAUAUGUACCUUAAUGUGUUCUUUACACAUCUAAGCUAUUAUUAACAAAAAGUUUCUUUGGCAAAUCAUUAUGCUCAUCACACCUAUAAACAAUGAACAUUAAGUUAUACGUAUAUAUAAAUAAUCAUGACCAUAGUAGACAAUAUUAAAAGAUAAAUAAAAAAAUGACAUACCCGUCGAGCACGUUUCUGAGCCUUCUCCACUAUUUCAAACUUUGAAGGACCAUGCUUUGUAGAGCUUGAUUCUUUUCUAUUUUUAGAACCCAUUGGACGACCUUUGUGAGGUUUAACAUUAGGCUCAAGAGUUAAUGGAAGAGAAGUAUCAAUAAAUUCACAAAGUUGCCUUUUGGUAUCCUCUUUUUGAGUAAGAGUCAACUUUUCAUACUUAUCUUUAAACUCCAAUAGAAGGCCGCUUAUUUGAUCUUGUUCAUUGUCCAAGCUUACAUGAUGAUCAUUGACAAACAAUCUUCUAUCAAUCCUCCAUUGUGGAUGUAUGUCAUUUAGUUGCAAGACUUCAAUAUUCAUCUCUCUAAUCAUGUGAGCACAAGGAAGACCCAUUGUCUUGAGAAAAUGACCCUUACAUUGACAUGGAAGAUCAGAAGAACUUGAUGCUUCAUAUUGAUUAUAUAACUCAUUCAAUGCAAAUCUAGAUACAUGAGUAACAACCUCUUUGAAGAAGGGAAGUCGAAACUUGUGUGAAACUCUAACUUUUUCACUUGAAUGUUGAGUUUUGAUUCUUGAAAUUGAUUUUCAAUAGCAAGGCAUAUUUUUUCUUUUACCUCGCGAAGACCUCCAGUUGAAACUUGAAGAUAUUUUUUUAGCGUUGCAUGUGCACCUUCGGCUCUUGAAGUAACACGGUUACCAAAGUGGGUAACUUUCUCUGACCAUGCACUUACAAACUUUUCUUUGUAUGGAAGCCAAGUACCAAGAAUAUAUUUCAAAACAAAUUUCUUCUCCUCGUACUUAACUUCAAAACGACUCCAAGCUUCAUUGAAUGAUGUUUCAUUAGGAGAUUGGAUUAAAAUUGUCCAAGUAGAAAUGAAAUCAAUCCAAUCAACUUCUUCCUCAAAAUGAGCUUUACAAUUUGCAAGUAUAUUUUUCUCAAUAUGCCACACGCACAAAAGAUUGGAAGUACUCGGAAAGACAAUGCGUAUAGCAUUCAUUAAUGCCAACUCCCUAUCUGUUAUAAUCACCAUAAGAUGAUUAUCAACUCCCAAAAUCUUACUAAACAUUUUUAGAGCCCACACAUAAUCCUCUUCUUUCUCAUUUUGCAUGAAAACAAAACAAGAAUAAAAGGAUGUGUUGAAACUUGAAACUCCUAUGAUAUCCAAUAAUGGCAUCUUAUACUUGUUGGUCUUAUAUGUGCAAUCCAUCACAAAAACAUAUGGGUAGCUCUUGGUCAACUCUAUAGACAAGGGAUGAGCAAAGAUCAAAUGAGUUAAGUGGCCUUCAUGAUCAUACUCAAUGUUAUAAGUGAAACCACCUUCACCAAGUUCUUCUAAUAAUGCUUGAAUAACUGGACGCCCAGCUAGACUCUCCUUCACAAUCUUAGCUCUUAGAUUAUAGAUGUUUCGAGAAACUACUUGAAGAUGAGGAUUGCCUUGCCGAAGCAAAGAUAGAAUUUGGCGUGGUGGUAUACCAGCCUUACUCAUUUCUUUAAUUCGUAAGAUUUCCUCUUGUGAAAAUUGACGACAAGAAGGAUGUCCACACAUGUCAUUUGAAAGUUCAUGGUUAUGCAAUAAACUUUUUAUCUCUAGCUUCCAAAAUUCUUCACAUUUCUUUUUACGCCCCUUGAUUUCAAAUGGACAAUUUAUGAGGCGAGAUCCUGAGUUUUUUUUUCUUUCAUCUAGUGAAGUUUUAGAGGCUCGAUAAUACCCACCUCUAUCACAACCAAUAGCAACAUAUGUAUUUGUCUUAGAUCUUCUAAUAACGGUUGCAAACCCUUGCAUUAAUGCUAUCUUACGAACUUCCCCGAUGAGGUCUUCUCGACUUUCAAAACAUUUCGCCAACAAAGAGAGCAUUUUAUCGGGCUCAUCAAUCGUUGGUUGACUUCCUAUAUAUCACAAACCAACACAUUUAUAUAUGUAGAAUAUAUACUUUUUAUCAAUGGACUAGACAUUUAAGUAUCAAAUUUAUACCAAAGCAUUGUAUGCAUUAUAUCAAGUUUACACCAAAACAUGGAGCCUAGGUAAAACCACAACAAUUAAACCUAAUACCAAUUUACCAUUAAGUUAAAGUGUAUUGGGGACCAAUAGAUUCCAAUAGAAAAUUAAUUUCCCCAAAACCAACACAAAUCGAUAUUCUCUAUUAUUUCCGUUUUUAUGAGUACAGAGUUGACACCAGUUUUUGUUUUGGGCAAAAGUACAUUUUUGCUCCAGUUUUUAUAAACCCCAACAGAAACCAAUAGUUAAAGUACAUUUUUGCUCCAGUUUUUAUGAGGAAUAGGUAAUUUUUUGCUUCAUUUGAAGUUCAAGUGUUUGGAUUACAGAGUUGACACCGAGAUUUUGUUUUGGGCAAAAGACACCAAGAAUUUAAGUUAGAGAUUUCAAACAAAAAAAAUAUAUCAAUCAUACUUUUUAUCUCGUCUGUUCAUUUUCAAUCUAACGGUUCUUAUCUAGAUGUGUAAAUAGCAUGUGUACCGUGUACAUGAGAGAAAAAUAUGUUAUAGAGCAUUGCCCGGUGCAUUCAAGUAAGCAUGGUAGUUUUUAAUCUUUUGCUCCUUAGUCUCUGAGCAUUGCCUAAUUUUUUGUUAUUCUUGUAAAAAAAAUUCUGAUGUCAAAAACAUUUACAAACUUAGUUUCGUGAUUUUUUGUUUACUUGACGCAUUUUUCUAAAUUUCUUCCCCUGGAUUUAGUUACUUCAUUGUUACAUGAUACAUUUAUCUUAAACCACCAGUAUUCAUUCAUUCAAUUAUCAUUUGAACCACAAAUUAGGGAAAGAAAAAACUAAACCUAAAAAACAAAUUGAGGCAAGAAGAGAACAAAAACCCUAAAUUCCAAAAUCAAUCUUAAUAAUUUGAGAAAAUACUUUAGAAAAUUACCAUCAAAAGUGUUAAGAGGAGGAAUGCAUUCUGAAAUUUCUUCCAUGCCAUCCUCCUUGCAUGCCAUAUCCAAUAUCUUCUGCAACUCAAUGUCCAUCUGGAGUUCUUUAUCUGUUAUUAUCAAGUCAUCCAUUGUGGUUUUUCACAAGAAGUAAUAAAGAGGACAGGGGAACGGAAAUAUUUCAGAAUAGGUCUCGUUGGGCUCGGCGGAGGGAGUGGGAGGCUUCGAAGAAGCAGUGGAAAUAUUUGCAGCGGCGAGGGAAUCGGGCUGCGAGAGGUGUCUGGGUUUGGGGAAAAAGCAGGAGGUGUCUGGGUUUUGGGGAAGAAGCAGGAGAAAGCAAGGGAAAAAGCAGGGGAGUUUCAAGUAAAUAAAAAAAAAAAACAACUUUUAAAAGUCAAAAAGUAAAAAGGGUAUAUAUGGAAGAGUAAAUAGUAAGAUAUCAAUUAAGUAUUAAAAAAAUAAGAAAUGGUGUGGGAAAGGUAAUUAAGGGUGUGUGAAAAUCACAACCCUAUCUAUAUACUAAAACCCGGUGGAAAAGCACUGUUUACCAGCAGUAAAAUGGCGGAAUUGCCCUCAUUCAACUUUCCUUGCCCCGUUGUUUUUCAGUCUUGGCAUAGUGAAAUUACGCAUUUGUCCAAGUUGGCCACGCGUCCAUCAUCGUCUGAACCUCUACUUCGACUGCAGCUUCUCGAUUUUUCCAUCCGUUUCCAGUUCUCUCUUUCGCAAAUCUCUGCUUCCUUUGCUCUCAACUUGCCUUCUGUCACUCUCAAACGCCGGGUAAGCUAUCGACCACCCCCUCUCUACCUUCUUCUUCUUUCGCUUCUCCCUGUGCAAAUCUGAGAGACGCCUACCACAACUGCUUCACUGGGUUAUCUCAACAUAAAAUUAGUUUUUGUUAUUGCUCUUAAACCCUAAUCUCUCUCUCGCCUCUCUCUAAAAUCCAUCUGAAAAAGGUAUAAUGGGUAGUGUUUAUGUUUGCAGUUUGUACUCGGCAAAGUCUGUGAAGGACCAAUAUCGGAGGUAUAAAUUGGCUGCCCUGAAAUUUUUUUAUUUAAUUAAUUUCAACAGGUAUCUAAGAAUUCUUAGUAUGAAUAGUGUCUGUGUUGUGUCUCUGAGCAUCUUGAUUUUUUAUAUUAAAUGAUCUCUGUAGUGUCUGUAUAUUUCUUAUAUGAUUUCUUUCAUUCAUUGUUUCCUAUAUCCGAAUUUAAAUCUAUUUAAUUUUUUUAAUUGAUCUGGGAUGUUGAGAAAUUGGAGCUCUUCUGGGGUCAGAUCCAUUUUGAUUUGGGGAUCUGAUGCGAAGAAAAUGAAAUAAAAUUUGGGUUUUGGAUUGAUGUGGUAUUUGGUUUUAUUUCCUGUUGUCAGUGCUUACCACCUGUUUGAGAUUAUAUAUAUGUUUUGAAUUUUUUUUGGUUUGUCAUGUAUAAGAAUGUGAAAUAGACUAUCUGAGGUAAUCAAUUGUGAUUGGUGACUUAUUUUUUUCUUUCUAUUUAUUUAUAUUGGGAUUGGUUACUUUUUUGUUUGUUUUUUUUUUUUCCAGAUUAGAGAUUUUAAUAGGUCCUGGUAGUGAUAAAGGCUCAUUUCUCAAAAAAGAGAUAAUAAAUAAAAGUGGCAGAAAUAUAUAUUUAUAUAUACAUAUAGAUGGCUGUGGUAGUAAGUAAUGAAGGUUCAAUGUAAAAGUCAGAGGUCAGAACUGGCAGAAAAAAAAAGUAAAAUAUAUUGGCUAGGACAGAAAAGAAGUGAUAGGUCAUGAUGUGACACUGUUUAUGAACAGUCACCUUCCGUCCUUUUUUUUAUAUCUUUUUCGGAAACUCAGUAGAGCAGAAAAAAAAGAUAAUAAAUGCGAAGUGCAAGGUGGGAGAAAAAAAAAUGUACAUAUACUUAUAUUGGGUAGAGCAGACCACGUGUUGAUCAUCGGUAGUGUUUCUGUUGUUGAGAGGAUUUUACCCUUUUUGUUUCGUUUUCACUCCUCUCUUUGUUCACUUUUUCCAUUCGUUUUUCUGCUUCUAUCUUUUGCCUAUUUUUCUUAAUUUUGUAUUUAGAGAUAGGCCUUUUGUUUGAAUUUGGGUUUAGUUGAUUUUGAAGGUUUCAAGUUGGUUGCCCUUUUUUGUUUUUAAUUUUGUAUUUAAAGUUAGGUUUUUUGUUUGAAUUUGGGUUUAGCUGAUUUUGAAGGUUUAGAGUUAACUAUUUCCUUUGGAUUUUUUAUGGGGGUGAGACUUAUAGAUUAGUAGGGUUUUCUUUUUGUGUUGGGAUUCUAAGUGACUAUGUGGUUUGAUUCUCAUUUUAUUUUUACGUAACGGUGUUUUGUGUUUUUUUUUUUGUUUGUUUUUGUUUGUGUCGUGGUUGUAAUUAUGAGUGUAUGAUUUAGUUGUGUUUUGUAUUUUCAGGAAACGGUGAUGUUCGUUCUCCCAGCUAUUGUGUUCGCAUUUACAUGCUGGUUGUGCUUCAGGUAUGUCCUUUUUCUCUCAUUUAUUUUGAUAUAUAUCUAAUAUCCAUCUAACUGUAUUAUUUUAUUUCUUUUCCCUAGCUUGCUUGCUUAUGGAUGAACGAUGCGGUGCCAAAACUCUAUCUCCAAUAGUGAAACGCAUUAACCGUUUUUUGUUAUUUUGUAUCAAACAAUAUUGAUAAUAUUUGCCUGCCAUGUAAAUGUCUCUUUGGUCUGAACUUCAUAAUAUUUUUUGCAUGUAUACCAGCAUUCAUUAAUUUUUUGUAUAUAAAUGCUGGUUCCACUUGAGAGGUAGAUGCAAGUGGUAGAAUCCAAUCAAUCACUAUAUUGUUUUUUGUCUAUCUGUAAACAGGUUUCAAUCUUUUGUUUUAGGAUUGUACAAGUUUAAUAUUUUAUGUAUAAACAACUUCCAACAUCUUUGUUUACGGUGAUGUAAAUAUUUUGUGAUCUACUUUUUAUAUCUCUUCAACAGAGCGUUGCAUUGAAUUUCCACAAUUACACUCUUUUAGAACUCAGUUUGGAGCAACAUUCGGUAAGCCUUUCUUUUACAGUCAGUUUCAUUUGUUUAUAUUUGAAUCAACAAAUUUUUUACAAAUAAUGAUUCUUCCAACUGCUCAUAAAUUGAUUCUUUUAUUUUUCUUGCAACUUCAAGCGUUGAUCUAUUGGAAACAAACUUUUAUCUAUUCCUUGAGUUACGUAGAGUUGUAAAUAAAUUGAGUUAAGCAAAGUUUCAAAUAUAACUUUCUACAUGUUGUAUGCCUAUUUAAAUACCCGCAGCAUCGCGGGGGUGCCAAUGCUAGUAUUAUACUACUUUGUAUUCCAAAUACACAUAAGAAUAUAUCCAUUCUAGUGAAUGGCCUAAUUCCAAUUAAUCUCACCUUUGCUUUCUCUCAAACCCGUCAACUUAUCUUUGACUUUGUUUUUCAACAUACAUUCAUCGUUAGGUACAACCAUAGAAGUUUCGCACUCCAAAACACUACUCAUAAAAUAAUCACCGACCUUCUGUAUGAAGCGAAGUUGAUUAAGACAUCAGCAGUAGGAUGUGCGGCGCAUGAUGCUUCAAUGCUGUAACAGUUAUCAACCCAAAGGUUAAACAAUCUCGAAACAACAGAUCAAGAAUGGUAAUCUGACUAAUAACAUGAUUUGAAUAUAUUGGAUAUGGAAAAUUAAGAUUAACCAAGCAUACAUGCAUAUACAUAAAUAUACAAAAGGUGGCUUGCAGCCACGAAAGUCGAAAUCUAGGAAGAGGAUGAGAGAAUGGCGACUUACUUUGAGUGCACUGGUAUGGUGAUUUCCUCUUAACUGAAAAAUAGCUUUUGAAAUCCCUCAGAACCGGGGUUAAUGAUUCCAGCAACUGAUGGUGUCUCCCUCCCUAUUACAAACCUCAGUUAUUACAUUUACAUCUUUGUCAAAAACUAAAAACUAUAAGUAAGAUUAAGUUCGAAGUCAAAAUUAGGAAAUGAUGCAUACCACAAAGGAAGUCAAAAUCGAGUUAGAAGCACCUGAUAUAUCUUGCCAGUGGUAAUGUUGUUACCCCUAGUAAGAGUCACAUCUAGGAAGCGUUCAUAGUUGCCCAGGUCCAAAUCAACCUACAAUUACGGUUAGAGUUUAACAAACUCAGCAGCACAUAAAGUUUAAAGAUAAGACUAACACUCAACAUGAUACCAAGAUAGAAUCCAAAAAUAAAUGAAAGAUAUGAUUAAAAUUAUUUGUUCUAAUCGAACAUAUUUUCUAGUUUUCUUAUCCGAUUAUACAAUUGCAAUUCCAAAAAUAAAAAAUAAUUUGCAGAAAGAAAAUUAGAAAAUUCAAACUUGAUAACAGUCUACCUUAAGAAACCCCAUGACCGAGUCCGAAUUGUACACCCGUGCCCUGCAAUGUCUUGGUGAGUGACUCCUGCUACAAAUUGGCACGAUGCUCAUUGUCUUGUAAAUCUGCAAGCAAAAUAUACAUAUUGUUAGGAAAAAAGUGUCUAUAUAUCAAAAUGUAUAGUAUGUAAGUUUUUAAUUGCAGAUGUAUGCAAGCUACAACCUGUUGUUAAAUUUUGCAGAACAUCUUUGUAAACUAUAUUUUUUGUAAAUGUAUUUGGCAUUUCAUUGUUGUUAGUAAUUAAAACUUUGAGACCCUCUCUUGAUAUGACUCUAGAUAAUGCAACAUAUAAUUGACCAUGAGUGAAGAUAGGUUGUGGUAAAUAGAGUCCCACUUGUUUCAAUGAUUGUCCCUGACUUUUGUUAAUUGUCAUUGCAUAACAUGGUCUUAUUGGAAAUUGACGUCUUUUAAGUACAAAAGGCCAUUUGUUUUCAGUUGCUGUCAAGAUUAUUUAAGGAAUGAAAACUUUGUAAUUAAUGUUGCUGCCAGCAAGUAUUCUAGCUUCAAUAAUUCUAUCAAAUAAUUGAGUCACAACCAAUCUUGUUCCAUUACACAAACCUAAAGAUUGGUUUAAGUUUCGGAGCAACAUAAUAGGCAUUCCAAUCUUUAAAAUUAAGUUGUGCGAAGGCAAGCCAUUGAAAUCAAGUGUGUUGAGAAAUUCUGUAGGAUACAUUAUACUAAGAUUCUCAAAAUUUCCAGUAGAUGAGUAUAAAGAAUCAGAGCUUAAAUAAACGUGUUUUUGACCAAGUAACAAAUCUAUUGCAUAAUCAUUUAUCUCCACUACAAUAUCAUUUUUUGGUGUAACAAUAGCUCGCUCUCGUAAAUAUUCAAAACUGGCAAAAUUAUUUUCAAAGUCUGGAUAAGUUGCUGAAAAAAUAGAAUGAAUAGGAUCAGAGUAUGAAUGAAUGAGUAAAUCAUCUGGAAUUUCAAUCCAACAUGUAUCUUUAUCAUUUGAAUCAAGUGUAUCUCCAAUUUGGCCAUCACCUAUCUGUAAAAUCCAAGAUGCAAAAUUAGCAAGUUUUUUCUUUUGAUCAUUAUUUAAUCCCUUUUGUGAAAGCCUCAUAUUUUCCUUCAACUGAAAUACUUUGAAAAAAGGCCAUAAAUAAGAGUUAUUUAAAGAGGCAUCUAUUAUCUGUUCUUUUGUUCCACCAGGAAUAACUGGUAAAAUUUGUCUAAAGUCACCGCCUAAUAAAAAAGGUUUGCCACCAAAUGGAGCAUUUUUAUUUGAAUCAUUUGAAUGUGAAAAAAUAUCAGAAAGUGACUUGUCUAAUGCUUCAAAACAAUGCUUAUGAUUCAUAGGAGCUUCAUCCCAAAUAAUAAGAUCUGUUUUUUCAAUUAAUUUAGCAAGAUGAGUCCCUUUCUUAAUUUGACAUGUUGAGCAAUUUGUAACUAUGAGAGGAAUUUUGAAUCUGGAGUGAGCAGUUCUACCACCUAGUAAAAGUAAUGAAGCUAUUCCAGAUGAAGCAACUGCUAAAACAAUUUUACCCUCAGACCUGAUUUUACUUAUUAUUGUAUGCCAUAAAAAUGUUUUUCCAGUUCCUCCAUGGCCAUAAACAAAAAAGAGACCUGACCUUUUUUCAUUCACAAUACUAAUAACACAAUCAUAGACAAAUUUUUGGGUUUCAUUAAGCUGUGUUACCAAAACAGAAUGUUCUCGACUUAAAUCAUCACAAUUGUAAUUUAAUUCUUCCCUCAACAAUUUGUUUCUAAUUUCUGACAUUUUUCUUUCAUCAGGCAUAGGCAAAUUAUGAUCUUUUAAAGAGCUAGAUGAUGCAUUAAAUAGUUGCUCUAAUUCAAAUAGAAGAGAGUUUUUUAAUUCCAAUUCUGAUAAAUUCAGAGUUGACAUUGCAAAAGAUUUUCGAAGCUCAUACAAAAUGUCAUCACACAUAUAUUGCCAAUGACUAUUAAAAAGCUGUUGAGGAUUUGCUAUUUCACAAAAUAAAAUCAUUGUAACAAAUAAUUGUCUCAACUCGCGAGAUGUUGCAAUAUUAACUGCAUUUCCUAAAGCUUCAAUCCACUCUUUGUCAUCCCCUAGUAAACUCAAACAUUUACAUGCAGCUUGAUACGAUGGUUGAAUAAUGCCGUUCACAGUUCUAAUGUCAUCAAAAUUGAGAACACCUUUUUUAAUAUUAAGAAGCAUUCUUAAAUAGUAUAACUCACCUGAUGCAGGAUGCACGUAGGCAAUUCUGCCUAUGGAUCCUCCUUUUCUUUUCAUAGGCUUCCAAAUCUUAUGUCGAGAUUCCCAAACAAACUUUGAUGGCAAUUCUGCAUAAGUUAGUGUUCGCGCUUCAAGAAAAAAUUUAUUUAUUUCAAACCAACUUGUCAACAUUGUGUGUUCAGAAGCUUCUUGACUAACAAUUGAUUCAAGGGAUUGAUUACUAUUGAAAACAAUAGUUUGUUCCAAAGGAAGAUGUACUGGCAAUCAUUCAACAUGAGGUUCUCUCAUAUGAAUUGGAUACUCAAACAAUCUCCAAACAGCUUCGUAUGGAGAUAUAUAUCUACAAUUUAGAUAAGCACGUAUUUCAUUGUUUGAAUUCUCUUCAAAAACAAUUCUUGCUCGAUCUGAACCUUUGUUUAUGUAUUUGAAAAGAUAUUUUAUAAGUAUUGAUUGGCAACAUGACUCAACAUUUAUAUGAGCAUUGUAUCUCAAUAAUAAAUUUGAAUUGUAAGGUACAACAAAACCAUUAUCUAUUUGCAUCCCAUUUUUAACCAUAAAUUUUGACUAAUCAUCACGACGCCUAUACAUAGGAAAAAUAUUUGUUUCAAAAAUUGUUUCACUUUUGUAUUGCUUUGGGAAAAACUUAGAACAUUUUCCCUCUCGCAUGCAUGGAGACUUUUGAUUAAGUUGUCCGCAAGGACCAUGAAUCAUGAAUUGGUUCACAAUUUCAUAAAGGAGAGGAUCUGAAUUUUUAUUUGGUAUUUCAGUUGAAAUGAUGGAAUCUAUGUCAUCAGCAGAGUAGCAUUUGUAAGGCUUCUUUAACCAAAUUAAGAUGUGAGCGUGAGGCAACCCUCUUUCUGAAACUCGAUUGUACAAACAUCUGUUUGCAAUCAAGUUAGGAAAUAUAUAAAUCAUAGUCAGUUUCAUUGUAAAGAUAAAAUGAAAGAAACUGAGAAAAAAAAAAAAUUUAAACUCACCUGCUUCAACUUCUCCAAAAGGUUCUCCUGAUUUUAUGUAGCUAAUCAUAUCAUCAAGUUUCAUCUUAAAAACCCUAGAAAUGAUAUACGGUCUAUCCUCUAACUUGUAUCCAAGUUUUAUAUCAAAUUCUCUCACAAUUUCAGGCCAUUUGAUAUUGCAAGUGAAGGUUAUGAACAAAUCAGGAUUACCAAAUUGUCUACAAAUAGCCAUCGCAUCUUGAUAGUUGUUAAGCAUAUAUCUAAGGCUUCCUGUGUAUGAGCUAGGUAAUAUUACUUUCUUGCCUAUGUUAUCAGCAUCAUGAUCAUCUUUUGAUACAGCGUCAUAAAUGCCUUUAUACACCUCACUUCGUAAGCUUUUUUGGUUUUUUCUAAUAUAAUCCAAUCGAUCCUCUUCAAGUGUUGCAUAAGCAUCUACCAAAAAUUGUUGAAAAAGUCUUCCUCCUUUUAACAAUGUAUCUAAUUGAGACUCCCUUUCUUGAAUUUGAUAGGCUAUAAAUGCUCUCAUAGUUACUCUGCCUCUUUUACAUGGGCGAUUGUUUGAGGGGAUAUUCAAUUUCAAAUCAAGUCUGUAUCCAUCUUCACCAUAUGGAAAAAGAAUGGGAUAUUGUAAAGACAUAAAUUUUGGAUUUAAUUUUGUCACACGUUUUAGUUCACCAUCUUUAAACUCUAUGACAAUAUCUCUAUUUGAGUCAAAUUGACCAAUAUCACCCACUAUUAAACUAGCGAUUUCAUCACAUGUAGGCUGUCCAUAUUGUUUAUCAUCAUUUAACUGCCUACCCAAUAUAGUUAUUUUCAAAGAAGGGAGAGAAUUGUUUUCAAAUUUAUCUCUAAUUGUUCGAAACACUUGAACCAAUUCAUUUGAUUCAUUGAACAUGUUGAUCAGACCCUUGACAAUAUUCUCAUCAAGCUUCAUAUUUGUUUCCUUACAAUUAAUAGCAUUGAAACGAUUUCCAAUUUCAUUAGCAGUAUCAUACACAUAUAGUUGAGCAAACUUUGGGCAUUCACCAUCAGGGGGUAACAAAGAGCCCAUUAAAUGAUGCACUUGACCACUAAUUUUAAAAAUGUACGGGCCUAACUGAUUGUUAACCGUGUGAUCAACUUUAGCUCCCAUUGAAGUAAAUGCAAACAUUGAAUUAUAAGCUCUAAUGUUCUCUCUAAACAAUAAGCUUGUUUGGCCUUUCGUUGGGUCAAGCAAAUUUUCUAAAAAGUGAGGAGUAAGCAUUGGACGUGGGAGCUUGACUUUUCCUUGUUGGCAACAAAGAGAAUAAAGGGGCUCAUUAUUCUUGGACUUCUGCUUUAAAGACUCUUUUAUCCAAAAAAGUGCACCACAAUAGAUGCACUUAUACUUUUUGUCUCCCAAAUCCACAUAUUUCUGAACAUUUCCUAUUGAAAAAAGGUGAAAAAAGAAGGGGAAAAAAAGUCAACCUAUUAGAAGCAAAGUCAUAAAUACAUAACCAACCCAAAGAAAUUGUACGUUAAAAAGAUAGUUUACCUUUUUUAUUUUUCUGAAAAUUGGCUUGACCUUUACUAAUUUGAUUCGGAUUAUCAAAUGUAUCGACAUUGACAGUGGUUUGAACUGUGUUUGUACUUGUUGAACACACAUUGUCAACAUUUUUUUGUCUUUCGUUUUCAGAUUCAAAGCCUGGUUUAUCACAAACUUGUAUGCCACUGGAAGAACCAACAAUAUGGUCGUCUUUUCGUCUUUUGUUCUGAGGUUCAAAGCCUGGAUUAUCACAAACUUGUAUACCACUGGAAGAACCAACGAUAUGGCCUUCUCGUAGCAUUCUAUUCAGUUUGGUAUUUCUAGACCUUGUUAACAUGGCUUGAAAAAAGUUUAAACUCCAAACAACAGAUAAUGGGCUGAGAACCCUAGGAAAAGAAGUCAAUUAUUAAAUACUUGACAAUAUGUAAUCUACAAUCAACCAAAACAAACACAUAAAAGUUACAUUUCGAAACUAUUAUGCAAAAACCAACCCUAAUAAUGAUUCAGAAAACCUUAGUUGAUUAUCUUUUAUGAUUGAAACUACACUACAAAAUGUUAAAUCCUUAUGUAGACAUGCAAUCCAAAACAAAGACAAAUUUGAAAGAUUUGAGCCUUACCUAACCACGGAUGAAACAAAGGCGUAGAAAUAAGAUAUGCAAUUGGAUUUCAACCGUAGCAGCUACUGCUUUCUGAAUUCAAAGCUGGGAAUUGAAGAAAAUAGAAUACAUUUAAAGUCAUGCAAUUCAAAUUGCAAACAAAGAGCUAAAUUCUCAAACAUGCAAUCCAAUCAAUAAGAUUGUCCUCACAGAUUAUUAUAAUUUAAUUACCAAAAGAUUAUGGUAAAGUUGUAAAUAAAUAGAUUGCAACAUAUUUAGAAAACACUUGAAGAGAAACAAUUUUAAACAUUAGCUUUUAUCAAAUCGAUCUUUGAUUGAUAUCUUAUGAUCUAACUGGAAAAAAAAGGUUUAACAGAACAUGAGGCCUACAAUAGUGAACUUUCAUGCUCCUUUAAAACAAUGCAAAAAGAUCUCUCCCUAUAUUUAGAAAAUAAUUUAGGACUUUUGUGCUCAAAUUAAUAACAAAAUUUAUUAAUAUAGGUAUUAAGGAUUAAUUAACCUUGGCUAUCAAAAAAAGAAAAACCCAAAACUAAAAUCAUAUAUGGGUUGAGAAUCCUUAAUUUAUUAAGAUCAGAGACCCAUUAAUACAGCUAUGUCUCAUUAGAAACUAAGAGAGACAGACAGAGGGGGAACUCUGACUAUUGUCACUUCGGCCAACAUGCAAGAUUUAUUAGAAUUAGAGAUCCAUUAGUACAACUAUGUCUUAGUCCAAUACUAUUUUUUUUUAUUUGGCAUUAAUAGAGAAGACUGAAAACUUCAAAUUAAAAAGAUUAGACAAAUAAAUUUGAAAAGGAUAAAGAUUUUAGAGAGAAAGUGAGGAGAAAGAGAAAUAGGGGGAGACCUUGGGUGAACAGGUGAUUGCCGAUUUCAUUGGGGGAGUACCUUAAUGCAGUUUUUCACAAUUUUUCUGCAAGCCCUGUAUCAACAAUUAAACGGAUAAACACAACAUGACUGAAGGACAAAAAUCGGAACAAAAAACAACCUAAUUUCGAGACAAACCUGAGUGGCAAGCAAAAGCGCCAGUUUUUUUUUUUUUUUUUUUUUUUUUUUUUUUUUUGGUAAUGGCCAAGCUACUGAUAUAUGAGGGUGUGGCACCUGUGAGAAACGAUAAGAAUCCAAUUUUUAGAGAAGUAUAUGAAAUGUUACGCUCUACACCACACAAUUGCACAAUGCACACAUGCAUUUGUUAAACAACAUAUCGUAAUUGUAAAGAUUUUUGUCAUGUUUUUCAGAUCAACUAAAAAUGUCAAUAAAAUACAUGGAGGGGGGUGUGGAUAAACCAAACAACAAAUAAAAAAAAAAAAAAUGAGGAUGUUUGAUGAGAUUUGAAGUCAAUUAGUUAUAUGGCAGGCCUAGAUUUCCGUCAGUUGCUCAGGUAGUGGAAAAUAACAUGCGAACUAAUUCAAUAAUUUCAUGUUUGACACUUUGUCGGUGCCCAAGCGAAGAACUAAUGAGAGAAUCAAAGUAGAGAGAGACUAUGUGUACCUGAAUUGAGUUCAGAGGCAAAAUCCUUGACCCAACCUCGGGUAUCUGAAUCUUAAUGUUGAAGAACCCUUCGGCGCACACGGUUCCUUCUGUGCCUUUAAUCUCUGCAUCAAAGCAAAGCAAAGCAAAAAACAAAAAAAAAAUUUCUUAUUAAAUUAUUAUUUUUUCUCGGAAACCAAACGAUGGGUUAGAAAAAUCUGGAAAGAGGUCAAAUUGGGAAGCUUUGCCCGCGUCGAUGGUGAUGAGGAUGAACCCAAAAAAUUAGCAAAAUUUUUUCUAACCCACAAAAUCAAGUUUUUUUCUGAAGUCUAAUUAUAUCAAAUCACAUAUUUGAACAGAUUUGGACAUAUAAUAGGUGUAGAAAGUACCUGUGGUGAUGAGGAAUAGAUGAUGAUGAUGUGGGUUUUUUCAAUUGGAAAGAUUUGGAGCAAAAUUGCUGCUGAAAUUUAGGGAAGAGAGAUCUAGAAGGUUUUCAAUUCGAAUAGAAGUCGAUCAGAAAAGACGAAAUCACGGAGAAAGCAGAGAUGGAAGAGAUCACGAAGCAAAUAUCGAAGAACACGAAGCAGAGAUCGAAGAGGGCGAUGGAAAAUGGAGGAGUUUGGAAGAGGAGACAAAAAACUAAAGCAAAGUAAAAGCAGAGAAAAAAGAGAUGGGUAAAGUGACACGCGUCCCAAUCAACACGUGUCACUAUGCUAAGCUGCCAGGUGACAAAAUCAAAAGAAAGAAGUCUCCCGAACAAUCCAGUUUUUCUGCUCCUUCAAUUUCAGGCGCAACCGAAAUAAAAGAAUCCUGUUGCACGGCAGGGACGAAAAUGCCAUUCUACUGUAGAAUGAACAGUGAUGACAGAAACAAAGAAAGAGCAAAAAAGAAUACAAAAGGAAUGUUCAGGAGAGAAUCCUGAUUCUAACCGGUAAUCCUAGAAGCUCAAGUUCUCAGGCCAUUACCAAUUCAAUUUCGCCACGGCAUCAUAUUCGUCCGCAUAUUCCAAAGCGCUACACCUAUAUAUAUUUCUAACUCGCUCUCUCUCUCACACUACCUUCCCUCGAUCAGCUUUCUUAUCUGCCUCUCUCUCUAGACAAUACUUUCUCUCUCUACAACCAUCAUGGGUAUUGAUCUAUUGAUCUCGAUUCUCAAUUAUUGAUUUCGAUUUCGCCAUUUUUGUUGCAGAUCUUGUGUUUUUUUUUUUUGUUGUUGAUUUUUCUGUAAUUUUUUUGUGUUUUUCUGACCGUUUGUGUGUUGUGCUUGUUUGUAUCGAUCAGCAACAUCUGGCAAGAAGAACAAGAUCGGAAUCAACGGUGAUGAUCAGAUCCAUCGCUCCUUGAGUUUUAAUUUUUGGUAUGUUCUUUUGUGAUUUGAUCUGUGAAUUGAUUGAGAUUUGAAUUGAAAUGGUUUAGGAUUACUUGUGGCUGCCAACGAUCCCUUUGAACUUGUGGCUGCCAACGAUCCCUUUGAACUUGUGGCUGCCAACGAUCCCUUCAUCACCACCGAUCCCAUGGUGAGUUAUUUACUUGAAGUUUUUGUGUUAUUUUGUCGGGUUUUCAGAUUUAGGGUUUUUGGUUUCGGAUUUGAUUGGUGAUUUGUGUGAUUGUUUUUGUGUUUAGACCUACAUGUCCAAGUACGACACAGCCCAGCGUCCAUGGAUGCAACAUGAGUUCAAGGUCAACUACUCCAAGACCCUUGUCUUCCCUGAGAAGCCCGUCAAGACCUCCUCCGCGCACCAUGAGCUCAAGGUCAACUACUCCAAGACCCUUGUCUUCCGUGAGAUGCCCGUCAAGACCUCCUCUGCGCCCAUCAAGACCUCGUCCAAGACCAAGGCAAAUGAGACAAAGAGAAGUGGGCCUCUGCGCACCCAAGACAAGAAGAAUUCCCGUGUUUACAAGACCAAGGCAAAUGAGAUAAAGAAGUGAGCCCCCUCGCACCCAAGACAAGAAGAAUUCCCGUGUUUACAAAUUUCCAAAGUGUUGAGUGUCUCUAGGCUUGCUUUUCAAGUGUUAUGGUUUGGAGUUCAGAAUAAGAAGUGUUAUCUUGUUUCCUGUUGGAGUUUUCUAAUUUUUAUGCAAGUUUGAAUAUAAAGGCAAAAUUGAUGGGGUUGUCGUAUGGAAUGUGUUUCUCUUAUUUUGCUUCUACCCUCGAUUCCUUGUUUGUUAUUUUGCUUUCUAUUAUUCUCUUUGGUUAGCUUAAGCAUUGUGAUGUUUGCCAACCCGAAGACAAUUAACAGUGUUUGAUUUCAAGCCCGAUUCUCUUCGGGUAGGCAAAACAUAUAUUGUAGAGAAGCGGCAAGUUUAUUAUGCUGAGUUUAAUAGAUCAUUGCAGCUAUGCCAGCUGAGGUGGUUUAUUCCUUAUCAACUGCAGUCUACACUGUCG
rnacentral:lncRNA from 1 species